rnacentral:rRNA from 1 species
UACGGAGGGUGCAAGCGUUGUCCGGAUUUAUUGGGCUUAAAGGGUGCGUAGGCGGCCCGUUAAGUCAGUGGUGAAAGCCUCCAGCUCAACUGGAGAACUGCCAUUGAUACUGACGGGCUUGAGUACAGACGAGGUUGGCGGAAUUGAUUGUGUAGCGGUGAAAUGCAUAGAUACAAUCAAGAACUCCGAUUGCGUAGGCAGCUAACUAGGCUGUAACUGACGCUGAGGCACGAAAGCGUGGGGAGCGAACAGG